UCCGUAGGUGAACCUGCGGAAGGAUCAUUAAUUAUGUUAAAGCGCCUUACCUUAGGGUUUCCUCUGGGGUAAGUGAUUGCUUCUACACUGUGAAAAUUUGGCUGAGAGACUCAGACUGGUCAUGGGUAGACCUAUCUGGGGUUUGAUCGAUGCCACUCCUGGUUUCAGGAGCACCCUUCAUAAUAAACCUAGAAAUUCAGUAUUAUAAAGUUUAAUAAAAAACAACUUUUAACAAUGGAUCUCUUGGUUCUCGCAUCGAUGAAGAACGUAGCAAAGUGCGAUAACUAGUGUGAAUUGCAUAUUCAGUGAAUCAUCGAGUCUUUGAACGCAGCUUGCACUCUAUGGUUUUUCUAUAGAGUACGCCUGCUUCAGUAUCAUCACAAACCCACACAUAACAUUUGUUUAUGUGGUAAUGGGUCGCAUCGCUGUUUUAUUACAGUGAGCACCUAAAAUGUGUGUGAUUUUCUGUCUGGCUUGCUAGGCAGGAAUAUUACGCUGGUCUCAGGAUCUUUUUCUUUGGUUCGCCCAGGAAGUAAAGUACAAGAGUAUAAUCCAGCAACUUUCAAACUAUGAUCUGAAGUCAGGUGGGAUUACCCGCUGAACUUAAGCAUAUCAAU
rnacentral:rRNA from 1 species